CCGAGCUGAGUUCUCACCCAAAAUGGAGUGUGGCAAUUGGGUUCGGGUCGGGUCCUUUGACGAUGCAUUCUCCUCCAUUGGACGGUCGCGAUCAAUUCUUCCCGCACUUUUUGCCCUAUUUAAUGACAAAACAUUUAGGAAUAACCAAAUUCCAAUCCCUCGUAUACAUUUUCUCACAGUGGAAUCAACAGAAUCCUCCUCAGUUGCUUGUUCACUGCCAGGUUCUCACUCAAUCAAUUGUCGUUUUUUUGGUUUUUAAAUUUCAAUUUUAUAGAGAUUUUGUCAUAAUCUAAUGGAGUUUCAGAAAUCACUUAAUGCCAGUAAAAAUUUGUCCUUCACCAAUUUUUUUUUUAAUUUAUUUAUUUUAGGCAAAGUUAUUUUCUGCUAAAAAAAAUGAACAGAAAAUGAUUCACGACAUAGUUUUAAGUUGCUUUCUUUAAGUGCUUCAUCAAAUAUUGAAAGAAAAUAUGAAAAAGUAAAAAUGCUUUCAUAUCUGUUCUUGAACAGUCAUGUAGUUAAGUUUUGAUGCAUUUUUGCAAAAUAACUUUUCAUAUUUUUGGAAUUUUUAGGGCUUAGCUCAUUUUUUAUAGGCUCACUUGAGGAAGCCAAAUAAUUUCUGUCUUAAAUUUUUUUCCCUUCCUGCAUUAUUUAUCUAAAAUCCUGAAUAGACUUUCAGUUCUAGAGUAUUAAAUGAUAUGCAUAUUAAUCUAAUAUUCUGAAAAGCUGGUUUUUGUUUUUUAGAUGUCAGGACCGAAAAGGUUAAAUGGUUUUUCUCGUACUCAAAUGAGCUACAGAGCACGAGAUUAUGAAAGCGAUUAUGGCAAUGAAGAUAAAAUUUCAAAAGUAGAGGGAAUUAGCAGAGCUUUUGCAAAGAUGACUUGUAUCAAUAGCAACUUUCAACUUAAGAUGAUAGAAUCCUCUGCUUUCAGAGAAUUCUUUGGACAUCUUACCCCACGGUUCCAACUGGGUACACUUGAGUCUCUCAAAGCCGAUUGCUUGAAAAUUUACAGAGAAGAGGGACGAAAAAUUAAGGAGAUCUUGAGAAAUCGGGAUGGACAGGUAAGUCUGUCAGUUGAGAAAUUGAAAAGUCGGGAUAGAAAUUGCUAUAUGUGCCUAGCUGCUCAUUUCCUUGAUGAUACUUGGAAAAUGAAUAGAUGGGUUCUCUUAGUAUGGAUUGCUAAUAGUUAUAACCUAUUAGUUCCCGUUCUGAAGUCUCUUAACUAUUGGCAGAUUGAGGAAAAGAUUUCCAGUAUCACAUUCAAAACUGAUACUGAUAUUGAUGAAACAGUCAAUAAAGUUAAAUAUCACAUUCAGAAAAAGAAGGCACUCUGGCUUAAUGGACGUUUAUUUCAUGUUUGUUGUUGGACCAAUUUGAUUGAUUCAAUGGUGUGGGAUGCAUUUGAUCAGAUAUCAGAUACCAUUGACAAAAUUGACGAGUUUGUAAAUUCAGCAGUGCUGGAUUCAUAUGAUCAACAUAAUGCAACUAAUCGGACACAACUAAGGACUGACAAUGGUCAUGAUUGUAUUAACUGGCGGGGGACAUUACCUCACUGGCACCUCAAUUACUCAAUGUUAAAAGAGGCUUUGGAGUUGCAUUCUCGGGAAGAUUUUUCUUCACUACAUGUACCUCAUAAUUAUCUGCUAUCUACUGAUGAGUGGAAGAAAGUUGAAGUUAUUUGCAAACUUGUGGAUAAGUUUAAGAACAUCAGAAGAAUUCUUUUUGAAACCAAGUAUAUAAAUGCGAGCAUCUUAUUGAGUAAUCUUCUGGAACUUCAUGUGAGUUUGAGUUACGAGGCUUCAAUUGCAGAUAGUUACAGUAGUGAUAUAUUUACAAAAAUGCUUCUAAAGUUGGAUAAUUAUGGGAAGGAUUCAUUUCUAGUGCUAGCUGUUGCAACAGUAAUGGACCCUCGAUGUAAAAUGAUGUACAUAGAGUACUUAUCGUCGAAGUUUGCUACACAUGAUUGCAACUUAAAGCUUUCAACUGUUUCAGAGGCGGUGUGUGUCCUUUAUGAUAAUUAUGCUGCCAGUACUCCUCAACAAUGGGGGGAUUCGACGAGUGAUUCAGAUUAUUCCUACUGUGAUACCGAUACUUCAGAGUCUGAAAAGGAGGAUUAUCCCAGCAAGAAAAGGAAGGCAGGGAUUUCAAAAUGUGAAGUUGAAGGAUAUGAAAACUUAGAGAAUACAAACGAGAUACCAAAUCACGACCUGGAAGAAAAAAAUAACCCAAAGAAAAGAGAGGUGAUUUCCAAAUGUGAAGAGGAAGGAAAAAAUAACAUAAAGAGUCACUUACAUGGCUACCUACAAUUUGUUCAAUCUAAUAUUCGGCCUCCAAAAUCUGACCUGGAACGAUAUCUUGGCGAACCCGUCCUACCGUGGGGCCAAGAAUUGAACUUACUGGAUUGGUGGAAAGUUGCUAGUCCAAAAUAUCCCAUUCUAUGUAAGAUGGCUCGUGAUGUUUUGUCGAUUCUUUUAUCUUCCUCUGAUGCAUUGUUCACUGAAGAAAGAAAGGUAGACAGUCGCAUAACAUCCCAUGGACCAGCUCUGGUGAAUGCCUUGAUGUGCAUCCGGAGUUGGCUCUCAAAGAACUGAAUGAUUGUCAAACCAGUAUGAUAGUAAUCUCUCAAUUUGACCUCUUCUUGUAGAAUCUUAGAUGUGGUUUUACAGUGUCGACUUGGUGUAACUUUUGCAGAAAUAGUUUGUAGAGACGAUAAUUUUCACUUCAAUGGCUGCUUUCAAGAUUGCCAAUCAUUUUCUACUGUUCUCUACUGACAUCUUAUAUAUAUUGAGUGUUGAGACACUAAAAUAUUGUUUUAUUCCAAAAUCACAUCAAACGCUUGAAAAUAUAUCGAAGAUGGAAA
rnacentral:lncRNA from 1 species